GCCUGCUGUUGGAACCGACUGGUGGCUUACUGGGUGACUUGGCUCCAGUGGGAUUUUGUGGCUGACUUUAUCUUUUAUGCUGAGGACCUCUGCAUCCCGUGGAUCCAACAGGAGUGAUGAGUUACUCAUCAACUGUCGCCAAAUAUCUCUGAACCCCAAAGCACUACCAAAAACACUAGCUCCUGCAGAGAACAUGCAACAAGCCAGAGAACACAAGCUGCUGUUACAGCUGCAACUCUAAUUUUAAACCGCUGAUGCUCACACACCUAUCUCCCCCUCCUCUUUCGAACCUGGAACAUU